rnacentral:lncRNA from 1 species
UGGUCAUUUUUAUGCCCCACCUACGAUAGUAGAGGGGCAUUAUGUUUUCUGGUCUGUGGCUCCGUUCGUCCGUCCUGUCUGUGGCUCCGUUCGUCCGUCCGCCUGUGGUUCCGUUCGUCCGUCCAGGUUAAAGUUUUUGGUCAAGGUAGUUUUUGAUGAAGCUGAAGUCCAAUCAACUUGAAACUUAGUACACUUGUUGCUUAGGAGAUGAUCUU